rnacentral:rRNA from 1 species
UAGCGAAAUUCCUUGUCGGGUAAGUUCCGACCCGCACGAAAGGCGUAAUGAUUUGAGCGCUGUCUCGACAAUGCAUCCGGUGAAAUUGAAGUACCAGUGAAGAUGCUGGUUACCUGCGCCAGGACGGAAAGACCCCAUGGAGCUUUACUCCAGCUUGAUACUGGGAUUCGGUAUUGCAUGUACAGGAUAGGUGGGAGGCUAGGAAAUGGUAACGCCAGUUGCCAUGGAGCCGAUGUUGGGAUACCACCCUUGCAGUACUGGGUUUCUAACCAGCAGCCGUGAUCCGGCUGGGGGACAAUGUCAGGUGGGGAGUUUGACUGGGGCGGUCGCCUCCGAAAGGGUAUCGGAGGCGCUCAAAGGUUCCCUCAGAAUGGUUGGAAACCAUUCGAAGAGUGCAAAGGCAGAAGGGAGCUUGACUGCGACACCGACGGGUGGAGCAGGUACGAAAGUAGGACUUAGUGAUCCGGUGGUAUAAAGUGGGAUUGCCAUCGCUCAACGGAUAAAAGCUACCCUGGGGAUAACAGGCUUAUCACUCCCAAGAGUUCACAUCGACGGAGUGGUUUGGCACCUCGAUGUCGGCUCAUCGCAUCCUGGGGCUGUAGUAGGUCCCAAGGGUUGGGCUGUUCGCCCAUUAAAGCGGUACGCGAGCUGGGUUCAGAACGUCGUGAGACAGUUCGGUCCCUAUCCGGCGCAGGCGGAGGAAAUUUGAUAGGAGCUGUCCUUAGUACGAGAGGACCGGGAUGGACGGACCGCUGGUGUAUCUGUUGUACUGCCAAGUGCAUAGCAGAGUAGCCAAGUCUGGAAGGGAUAAACGCUGAAGGCAUCUAAGCGUGAAGCCCCCCUAAAGAUAAGAUUUCCCAUACCGAAAGGUAGUAAGACCCCUUGAAGACGACGAGGUAGAUAGGGCAGAGGUGGAAGUACGGUAACGUAUGGAGCUGACUGUUACUAAUCGGUCGAGGCUUUAACCAA